rnacentral:rRNA from 1 species
GCGGCCACUGCUAUCAAGUUCCGACUAAGCCAUGCGAGUCAAGGUAUCGUAAGAUGCCGGCAAACUGCUCAGUAACACGUGGAUAAUCUAACCUUGAGUAAGGGAUAACUUCGGGAAACUGAAGGUAAUACCUUAUAAUUGCUUAAAACUGGAAUGUUUUUGCAAUAAAAGUUACGACGCUCAAGGAUGAGUCUGCGACCUAUCAGGUAGUAGGUGGUGUAAUGGACCACCUAGCCUCAGACGGGUACGGGCCCUGGGAGGGGUAGCCCGGAGAUGGACUCUGAGACAUAAGUCCAGGCCCUACGGGGCGCAGCAGGCGCGAACACUGUGCAAUGCGCGAAAGCGCGACACGGGGAGCUUGAGUGUCUUGGCAUAGCCAAGACUUUUCUCAUUCCUAAAAAGCAUGAGGAAUAAGUGCUGGGUAAGACGGGUGCCAGCCGCCGCGGUAACACCCGCAGCACAAGUGGUGGUCACUUUUAUUGAGCCUAAAGCGUUCGUAGCCGGUUUUGUAAAUCUUUAGAUAAAGCCUGAAGCUUAACUCCAGAAAGUCUGAAGAGACUGCAAGACUUGAGAUCGGGUGAGGUUAAACGUACUUUCAGGGUAGGGGUAAAAUCCUGUAAUCCCGGAAGGACGACCAGUGGCGAAAGCGUUUAACUAGAACGAAUCUGACGGUAAGGAACGAAGGCUAGGGUAGCAAACCGGAUUAGAUACCCGGGUAGUCCUAGCUGUAAACACUGCCCAUUUGAUGUUGCUUUUCCGUUGAGGGAAGGCAGUGUCGGAGCGAAGGUGUUAAAUGGGCCGCUUGGGAAGUAUGGUCGCAAGACUGAAACUUAA